AAAAAAUUAGUUAAAUUUAUAACAUUAACUUGUCAAGUUAAAAUUAUAUCGUAGUAUUUUUUA
rnacentral:tRNA from 1 species